CACCUAUAAUUUAUAGCCAAGGAGGAUAAAACCAAUAAAAAACAAUAAUUUAUGCAUAGCGGUGACGUGCAUAUAAGACCAACCGUGAAGCAACACUUUUAGCAACAAUAAUGUGAUUUUUUGAAACAACCAGUAAACUUGGUAGGGUGCACCGCACAACUGAAUACGGUGUUGGAUUACUCAUGUGGCAAGGAAUAUAAAUGAAGAGAUGAGUCGUUGUAUUGUUACCAUGAAGAGGUAACGAAAGAUGCCAUUACACGAGCACAUCAUCUCUGACCUUUAGGUUGUUGAGUUGUACCAUGUUGAUAGGUUUCAUGAGUAAUGGUUCAAGGUUGAUUAGGCUCUUGUUAGUGUAUUUAUAGAGCGAUAGUAUCCGGAGAUCCAUACAUUUCAUAUGCCUUUUGAUAUGAGCUCUAUGAGACAAACUGAGAACUAUCAUAUGCUAUAAUACCAAUUGGUCCAAUUACAAGAGCAACAACUAAGAGAAUAAAAGAAGGUUUUGCAAACAUGGCUAAAUUAUUUGUUCAGGAGAUGCAUCAAGAAUUAGCUAAGACAAUAGUUAACAAUUAUGAAAAACCAAAUGCCUUAUUAGUUACAAAUUGCAUUAAAGACUUUCGUCAGUCAAGUUGAAUCAAAUAAGCAUCAUUGUAUUAGUAUUUACUUUAAGAUUUAUUUUAUGUUUAAUUUAUUUUUUUUUUGUUUUAAGCUCAAUUAUAUUUGACUCGUUUUUGUCUUAGUGAACUUAUGAGUUAGGAUUUUAAACUUAAGAGAUAUAAAAAUCUUUAAACCUUUUAGCUAUUUUUUCUUAAUUUUUGAUGAAUAAAAAUUUCUUGAGUUUUUUUGAAAAAUUUGGGUGUGAUAAGAAAGGUAGAGUGAUUGCCUUAACUGUUGUAUCAGGAAAUCAAAUUGAAGUAAAUGAGUCUAUUUCUUUGAUUUUUCAUCUUAUUCUAAGUUUUGUUCAGUAUCAUUUGGUAUCAGAUUCAGGUAUUAAAUUAAUUUUUAUUGGUCUAUGUUUAUUCUUCUUAUGUCUUGAAAAAAAAAUUCAUUUUCAAUUGUGAUUGUUCGAUUCUUUUGUGUUCUUAAAAAAAAUCUCAGUUAUCGUCUCUUGUUUGUAGUGUUUUUUAUUAUUUAGGAUAUUUUAAUUUAGUCUUCACCUGAUACUUGUUCUUAGAACUAUGUAUCCACAAGGUUUGUCCUUUCUUCUAAUUGCUUUUGUUGAGUAUAGUGAUAUAUUAGAAAUUGUCAUACGCAAUUUGAAUUUGACCAUCACUUUAAUACAUUAGGAAUUAUUAUACACAAUAGUGUAUCAGUUUCAAGUGUCGUAGCCUACACUAAAAAAAAUUAAUACAAAAAAAAUCAACAAAAAAACAAAAGAGAAAGAAAGAAAAGAUAUAAAUAUUUAGAUAUAUCUUUGAUUUUGAUUUUACACUUUUUUUUAUUUUGUCUUGUUAUUUUGAUUCUUAUCUUCACUUUGAUAUAUUCUAGUGCCUUAUUUUAUUGUUCUAAGUACCUUUGUAAUUUAACUCUAUUCUUGUUCAUCGAUUUCUUCUACUUUUUAUUUGGUUUCUAAAGUGUAACUAAAUAGAACUCAAGAGUGAUAAAAAGGCAAGAGCGGUGUGUUUAAUAGAGGGUAAAAGCCAAUUUUAAGAGUAAACACGAGUGUCCAUCAUCAAGUGAAAUACGUGAAAGAGUGAUUGCGAGGUCCUUUCUAUAACAUCUUUGCAAGUUCAUUAUUAUGAUGACCCACUCAAAAGAUACUCUGAAUCUCUGAUUGAUGUGAGAAUGAUACUAAGGGUCAUUCAAUACUUAACUAAUCUCUUGAAUGAAUUAGAGGAAUGGAGGCAGAAAGUGACACACACAUUGUUCAAUAAUACAAAAAUGAAACUUUUAGGAAUUGGCAUCAAAAUCAUAGAUUAUAACUCUGAUGGGAAUACAACACAUCAACACAAAAAUGAAGAUAGCAAUAUCAAAGUCAUCAAGAUGCAAAUACCACCGUUCAAAGAGAGAAACGACCUUGAAGUUUAUUUGGAGUGAAAACGUAAGUUGAAAAGAAUUUUUGCUUGUCAUAAUUACUUUGAGACAAAGAAAGUUCGUUUGGCAGCAGUUGCAUUUUCUGACUAUGCCUUGCUUUGGUGGGAUGAACUAGCAAAGACAAGAUGGCAGAAUGAUGAUUAUCCUAUAGAGACUUGGGAUCAUAUGAAGUGCCUCAUGAAAAAGAGAUUUGUGCCUUCAUACUACUACAGAAAAGUGCAUCAGAAGUUAUACUGGUUGAUUCAAGCCUCCAAGUCUGUUAAAGACUACAAUAAGAAAAUGGAGAUGCUUAUGAUCAAGGCUAACAUAGAAGAGGAUACCAAAGUUACUAUGACAAAAUUUAUAGGUGGUUUGAAUAGAGCGAUUGCUGAUGUGGUGGAGUUACAUCAUUAUGUAGAGAUGGAUAAUUUAGUUAGUACGACAAUGAAGAUGGAGAGGAAACAACAAAGAAGAGCACCAAAAAAUUGUCUCAUGCUAAUCCAAAGUAGACAGAGUCUCUAGUGAUGACACAACAAAUACGAAGUGUGUCGAAUUUAAGGAGAAGUUAUUUGAUACUACAGAGAAGAAAGGUAAUUCUAACUCUUCUUCUUCUGCUACUUCUAGGCACAAAGAUAUUAGAUGCUUCAAGUGUCAUGGUUUGGAUCUUUAUGUUAGUGAUUUUUCGAACAAGAGGAUGAUGGUUAUUAGAGGGGGUCAUAUUGUGUCUGAUUCUAAUUAAGGCGAUGACUCUGAUCAUAUUAGUGUGUCACCUUUGGAGGAUUGUUCUGAUGGUAAUGUAAAAUAUGCAGUCCACUGUGAAUCUCUUAUUGUUAGGCGUGCUUUGAAUUUGCAGCUGGUGAAAGCAGAUAGCUUAAAAUAAUGCCAAAAUCCUUUUUAUUCUAGAUGCUUGGUGGGUGGAAAGAUAUGUAGUAUGAUUAUUGAUGGAGGGAGUUAGACUAAUGUGGCUAGUACACUUUGGUGGAGAAAUUGGGCUUGACAUCUGUUCGACACCCUAAACCAUUUAGUUUCGAAUAGUUGAAUGACAGUGGUGAGAUAAACGUUAACACGCAGGUGACAGUUGUGUUCUCUAUUGGAAAUUAUGUUGAUGAGGUAUUUGUGAUGUGGUGUUAAUGCAAGAUUGUCAUUUAUUAUUAGGGAACAUUGGCAGUUUGACUAUCGAGCUAUCCAUGAUGGUUACACAAAUCAGUUCUCUUUUGAUUUUAGUGGUUGUAAGAUCACUCUUACUCUAUUAUCAUCUAAAGAGGAUUACCUUGACCAAUUGAAGUUUCAACAGGAUACCAAAAAAAAUGGGAUGUAAGGUAUAAGAAAAAUCUGAGAGAAAAGAGGCCAUAAGAAAAAAGAAUAUAGGCAAAGGCCCAAAGGUGAGUGAAAAGAAAAAAAAAAGAGUGCAUGUCAUGAGAAUAAUGCGAAUACAAAGAAAAAUGAGAGAGUUGAGAGAAAAUUGUUUCUUUGAAAAAGAGAGAUAUUUAAAGAAUGCUUUAGUCGGCAAAAGAGCUAUGAUUAUGGUUCGAUUUAAAGACACUUUAUUAUUUGACACUGAACUAAACUCAAAUUUUUCAAAUAGAUUUGUCUCUUUGUUAUAGAAAUUUGCAAAUAUCUUUUCUAUUGACGUGCCAAGUAAUUUGCCUUCAUUACGAGAAAUUAAGUGCCAAAUUAAUUUUAUUCCUAGAGCUAGAAUUUUUAAUAGACCAGUCUAUAAAAAUAAUUCUGAAGAGACAAAGAUUCUUCAAAAGAAAGUGGAAGAAUUACUGGCCAAAGGCUACAUCAAAAAGAGUUUGAACUCAUGUGCUAUACCCGUUUGGUUGGUUCCAAAGAAAGAUGGUACUUGAAGAAUGUGUGUAGAUUAUUGUGUAGUCAACAAGAUUAUGAUAAAGUAUAGGCUAAAUGACAUGCUUAAUGAAUUUCUUGGUGCAUGCAUAUUCACUAAAAUUAAUUUAAAAAGUGAGUAUCACAAAUUAGAAUGAAACGAGGGGAUGAAUAAAAAACUACAUUUAAAACAAAACAUGGAUUAUAUGAGUGGUUAGUAAUGCCUUUUGGGUUAACUAACACACUUAGUACCUAUAUCUGUCUAAUGAACCAUGUUUUGCACGAUGUUUUGGGUAAAUUUAUUGUUGUUUAUUUUGAUGAUAUUCUCAUUUAUAACACUUGUUUGGAUGACCAAUUGUCACAUAUUUCAGCUGUUUUGGAAGUGUUUCGAAAAGAGAAAUUAUAUGCAAAUCUUAAAAAGUGUACAUUUUGUAUUAAUAGAGUUGUGUUUCUUAGUUUUAUUGUGAGUGCGAGUGAAAUUAAGGUUGAUAAAAAAAAUGUGAAGACUAUUCAUGAAUGGCCAAUGCCUAAAAAUGCUUCUGAGGUAAAAAAUAUUUCACGGUUUAAUUGAGUUUUAUAGGAGAUUUAUGAUAAAUUUUUCUACUAUUGUUGCACCUCUCACAAAGGUUAUCAAAAAUUAUGUUGGAUUUAAAUGGGACAAAUAACAAAAAACUGUAUUCAUACUCUAAAAUAUUAUUUGUGUUCUUCCCUUAUUCUUGUUUUACCUAACUUUGAUAAAAUUUUUGAGAUUGAAUGUGAUGCUUUUGGAAUUGGUAUAAGUGUUGUUUCGAUACAGAAAAAGCGAGCGAUUACCUUCUUCAGUGAGACAACACUACCUAUUACCCAAGAAAUUUGUGACAAAAGACAUGGUAAGUGGGUAAAAUUCUUUGAGACAUUUUUAUAUGUGAUUUCAUUUAAAUAAGAUAAAAAAAAUAUAGUUGUUGAUGCCUUAUCUAAGAGGUAUACUUUGAUUACUACACUUACUUCUAAGUUGUUAGGGUUUAAGUUUUAAAACAAUUGUAUACAACUGAUGCUGAAUUUUAUGCUAUUCAUGUCUCUUGUGAACAUGGUGCAUUGAACAAAUUUUAUAGACAUAAAGGUCUUUUAUUUUGUGGUAAUAGAAUUUGUGUGUCUGCUUGUUCUAAGGGAUUUACUUAUUCUGGAAUCACACAGUGGGAUUUGAUGGGUCAUUUUGGUAUACAUAAGACUUUGGAUGUUUUGUCUAAAUAUUUUUACUAGCCACAAAUAUGUAAGGAUGUUAAAAAAUUUUGUGCUAAAUGUCUUGCAUGUAAACAGGCUAUAGCUAAGUCAUUGUCACAUAGUUUGUACACUCCUUCACCCGUUCCUAUACAUCCGUGGGUUAAUAAUUCUAUGGAUUUUGUUCUUAGUUUGGCUUGAACUAGUAAAGGUAGAGAUAGCAUUUUUGUUGUGGUAGACAGGUUUAGUAAAAUAGCUCAUUCAUGCAUGUCAUAAAACUGAUGAUGCAACAAAUAUUAUUGAUAUGUUCUUUAGAGAGGUUGUGCGCUUGCAUGUUGUUCCCCAAACUAUUAUUUUUUAUCAUGAUGUAAAAAUUUUUUAUUCAUUUUUGGAGAGUGUUAUGGAGUAAGUUGAGAACAAAAUUAUUAUACUCUACUACUUGUCAUUCUCAGACUAAUGGUCAAACUGAAGUAGUAAAUCGAACAUUAGGAACUUUAUUAUGUGCUGUUGUUGGAAGAAUCUGAAAACUUGAGAAGAUUCACUUUUUAGUAAGUUUGCUUAUAAUAGAAAAAUUCAUUCUUCCAUUUUCUCCUUUUGAACUUGUGUAUAGUUUUAAUCUUUUAACAGUUUUGGACUUAUUACCUUUGACUUUGAGUGAUCUUGUUAGCUUGGAUGAAGAAGGUAAAGUUGAAAAGGUUAAGACAAUGCACUUGAAAGCACGUGAGUUGAUUGAAAAGAAAAAUAGGUUGACAGCUUAAAGGGUGAAUAAAGGUCGAAGACAACUUGUCUUUGAACCUGGUGACUGGGUAUGGUUCACUUGGGAAAGGAGAGGUUUCUUAAUCAAAGAAAAUUCAAGUUAGAUCCCAGGGGUAAUGGUCCAUUUCAGGUGUUAGAAAGGAUCAAUGACAAUACAUACAAGAUUGAUCUUCCAGGUGAGUAUAAUGUGCCAGCUACUUUUAAUAUCCCUAAUCUAUCUCCUUUUGAUUUGAAUUCAGGAGGGAGGGAAUGAUACGAGCUCAGUGGGAUAAACUAAGAAUUGUCAUAUGCCAAUUGGUCUAAUUACAAGAGCAACAGCUAAGAGAAUAAAAGAAGAUUUUGUAAACAUGACUAAAUUAUUUGUUCAGAAAAUGCAUCAAGAAUUGACCAAGACAAUAGUUAAUGAUUAUGAAAAACCAAACGUCCUACUAAUUACAAGCAUUGAAGACUCUCGUUAGUCAAGUUGAAUCAAAUAGGGAUCACUUUAUUAAUAUUUAUUUUAAGACUUAUUUUAUGUUUAUUUUAUUUUAUUUUAUUUUGUUUGUUUUAGGCUCAAUUAUGAUUUGCCCCAUAUUUGUCUUAGAAAAUUUAUGAGUUAGGUUUUUAAACCUAAGAGGUAUACAAACAUCUAAACCUUGUAGUUACUUUUUCUUAAUUUUUUAUGAAUGAAAAUUUCUUGAGUUUCUUUGAGAAA